CUCGAACGAUUCUGUUGGCUUCUCUCUGAUAAUCUUCUUUGUCUACUUCCAAGCUCUGGCAAGGCAAUGAAGCAGGCCACCAUUUCGGCAAAUUGUUCUGAGCUCUAAGCUUGAGGUUUCUAGCUACAGAGUUACUUCUAGAAGCCUGACCAGAAGAAGAAGCUAAGGAGCUUGAAGAUGAACGAAUGCUAUCAACAGCUACAACCACUUCCUUACCACCAAGACUCCUAUCUCUCCUAACUACCACUUUAGGUUUCCCUUGGAAGCUACCCUUCAGACCAGUUCCUAAGUGGACAAGAACCUUAAUAGCAAAACCAAACACGAGUCCAAGCAAGACAACACCUCCAACGAACUGCACGGUUGAUUUCCUGCACGUGACGACGACGCGCUUGUUGUCGUCUAGCGAGACUAGAGUUUGCAAGUCGGAGACGGCGUCUUUCCCCUUCUUCUUCCCAAGAUCCUCACCGUCAUCAUCCACAGCUUCAAGAACCUUCCAUGCCCCAUCAUUCCUCUCUUCAAGAACCUUCCAUGCCCCAUCACUCCUCUCCUCCAAAACCUUCAGCAAACCAACCAUCACCACCGUCAUCAUCAUUGCCUUACUUUCCACUCUGUCCCAAGAACUUCACCAACUACUUGCCCUGCCACGAUCCAUCAACAGCACGACAGUACAACAUUGAAAGACACUACCGGAGAGAGAGGCACUGCCCUGACUCAUCAUCCCACGAGAAGAAGCUCAGGUGUUUGGUCCCAAAGCCCUCUGGCUACAAAACGCCUUUUCCUUGGCCUGAUAGUAGAAGCUACGCUUGGUUCAAGAACGUUCCCUUCAAGAAGCUAGCUGAGUUUAAAAGACUCAGAACUGGGUUAGGCUUGAAAGAGACCGCUUUGUUUUCCCCGGAGGUGGGACUUCAUUCCCUGGUGGCGUGAAGGACUAUGUUGAUGUGAUUAUGAAGGUUUUGCCAUUAGCUUCUGGGAGUAUCAGGACUGUUCUUGAUGUUGGAUGUGGAGUGAGUUCACUUACAUGAUGAGUAGAAACCAUUACUAGAUUAUUAUUUGAUAUUUGACUGCAGUGUGUUUAUGGAUUGAUCAUUGUGUCAGGUAGCGAGUUUUGGAGCUUUUUUGCUUAACCAUAACAUCUUGACACUGUCAAUAGCACCUAGGGAUGUACACGAGGCUCAAGUUCAGUUUGCAUUAGAACGUGGACUCCCUUCUAUGCUCGGUGUUCUAAGCACUUAUAAACUGCCUUACCCAUCAAAGUCUUUUGACAUGGUCCAUUGUUCUAGGUGCCUUGUCAACUGGACUGCCUAUGGUAAUGUGUUUCUAAUAACUACGCAUCUGUGUCAGUUUAAUGUGUGUGUUUUAACCUUUUGGUCGAUUCAGAUGGGCUUUACUUGAUGGAGGUUGAUCGUGUUCUACGUCCUGGUGGAUACUGGGUGCUUUCUGGACCACCCGUAACAUCAAUGGUUAAAGCCAAGAACCAGAAGAAAGAUUUGCAGAAGGAGAUGGAAAAACUAAAUGAUGUUUUCAGAAAACUUUGUUGGGAGAAGAUUGCUGAAAGAUACCCAGUUGUCAUAUGGAGAAAGCCUUCUAAUCAUUUGCAGUGUAUAAAAAGACUAAAAGCUCUUAAGUUUCCUGGUCGCUGCUCUUCUGGUGACGACCCGAACGCUGCAUGGUGAGUUUACUUACUAAAAGUAUAUACCUUCUUCUGCAUCUUCAGAAGUUAAAGCUUGACUCAGAUAGAUCUUUUUUUUAACAAUAGGUACAAAGAGAUGGAGCCGUGCAUCACUCCUCUUCUAAAUGUUAAUGACACACACAAAAGAGUUCUUAGAAACUGGCCUGAGAGACUAAAUCACGUGCCUGGGCGACAUGGAGUGACCAUUUCGAGAUUUAAAGCUGACACUAACCUGUGGCAGAGAAUAGUUGUGUACUAUGACACUAAGUUAAAGUUUCUCAGCAAUGGAAAAUACAGAAACGUUAUGGAUAUGAAUGCUGGUUUGGGCGGUUUUGCUGCAGCAUUGAGCAAAUAUCCAAUGUGGGUGAUGAAUGUGGUACCGUUUGAUCUUAAACCGAACACACUCGGUGUUGUGUUCGACCGUGGCCUCAUUGGAACUUACAUGAACUGGUAAAAACACUCAAAAACUUGUCUGAUGUCAUCUAAUUGUGAUCUCUCUUAUACCGUCGUUUUCGGUUUCUUGUAGGUGUGAAGCUUUCUCUACGUACCCUAGAACCUAUGAUCUGAUUCAUGCCAAUGGUUUGUUCAGCUUGUACUUGGACAAGUAAGAUCUCUUUCUGUAACUUGGAACUUUGGUUUACAUUUCUUGUAAUAAAUGUGUAAUAUGGUCUAUUUUUGUUGGUUAUUGUGAUAGAUGUGACAUUGUUGAUAUACUAUUGGAGAUGCAGAUGAUUCUUAGACCCGGAGGAGCUGUUAUAAUUAGAGACGGUUUUGAUGUCCUUAUGAAAGUGAAGGCUAUAACCAAUCAAAUGAGAUGGAAUGGUACAAUGUAUUCAGAAGCAGAUAAUAGUUUUGACCAUGGAACAAUACUAAUUGUAGAUAAUUCAUUUAAAUAAAUAAAUAAAAAGCUUUUGGGGGAAUAGUCAUACUGUGAUCUUGAUCUCAAAGCUUGAUCUCUAAUACUAAUUAAGAGGCGGAUAAGUUGAACAACCUGACAUGGACUAAUGCAUGGUAGGUUUACUCUUGUUUGUAAUUUGCAUUCUCAGUUACACUGAAACCGCAAUCAAGGGCAUUUUUCAUUCUUAACAUUGUCGUUCUUUUAGUGGUAAGCAAUAAGAAUAUGUCCUAAAGCAGUUGCAAAGGUAUAAAAGUUAGAAACGCCCCAUUCUAUAAUCAGUUGAGCAUUUUGAAGAUAAAACUUGUGUGCUUGAUAUAAACCUAGCUUGCAGCGUUGUGUGUGAAAUAUGAAGCAGAGUUUAGACCAAACAUGAGCAUUGUAGUACAAGCUCUUCAACCGCUAUUGAGGUCUUCAGGAACAGCUACUGCACCUCAUAGACAAGCUUGAUCUUCUUCUUUGUGGUUCUUGCAUACUGGAUUCAUUCAUGGCUUUAGAAGCUCUUUUGAAAGAGAUGGUGAGUAGGGAAUGUAUUUGAGUUGAUGGAGAUAGGAUCUGCUGAUUCAUGGAAGACAAUUCGAAUGUACACAAAGUUAUGACAGAUCUUUUUGAUUCAUAUGAAUUAGUUUACAAUAUCAUAAUAAUACAUAAUCUUGUAGCUUUUGUUCUUCAAAGAGUAACUUCAAGACACUAUACUAGGACUAAAAAAUGUUUCUAUAACUUCUGCCAUCUGAUUUAAAAUCACUCUGUUAAGUUGAUUAGGACACAAGUGUAUGAAAAGGGUUGUUUUAAAUUGUCACUAAGAAGUUGAAAAAAAGGGCGUAGAAGAAGAAGUUUCAACUAGGAGGGAAUCAAACCAAGAGCUUCAGCAGCACUUCUCUGACUCUCUUCACUGCAACACAUUCCAACAAACGUUCUCAUCAGAGACUGUCUCUCUUCCAGCUUCAUGAGUUUCUCCAGCCCUCUUGCCACCAUUUCCAUCUCAGCCUGAUGGAUAAGUAAACAAGCAGAAGAAGUUUUAGUGAAAACAAUGAGAAAAUGAAGCAGAGACUGAAUGGUUAAAACUACAACAGAAAGAAGAAGAAAAACACAUACAGAGUACUCCUCAGGAGGAAAUAUGCGAUGAAUGAGGCAUAUUUUCGAUAGUUCUGCCACCGAUUCAGACUGUUUACCCUGUAUUUCCAGAGCCUGCAGUAACAUAGAGUUUGCACAGGACACAAAGUAUACUUCAGCGUUUGAUUCUGAUCAUAAUACCAUCUAAGUUAACCAGAAGAAGGAAUAGGAAGCUACCCAAGCUUGUAGAAACCAUGAACGUGUGCGUGCAGCAACAGCAGCAGAAACCAUCCUAGCAGCAUCUAUCUUUGCAAGCCCAAUGUUCUCAGCAAGCCCAGCGAUGAACUCCCGAGCAUCUUCACUACAAAUCUCCACAGAAGAAGAUUCCCAAGGAGCUCUAUAAAUAGUUUUCAAACAAGUUCAGCACCACACCAUAACAAAAAGGAGUAAAUUCAACUUAAUAAUUACAGGUCAAUAGAGAGUCAGACACCUGCUGCAAGCAUUUAGGACAAAAUCAACAGAUGUUCUGUAAAAGGAAUCUCGAGUGUUUGUUGGCUCAAUAGAGACUUGCACUCCAGCAAUCCUACAUACUCUACGCAGCUGUAUAUCAUUCCAUAGGAACAAACAUAAAGAGAGUAAUCUAGUUAAGUCAAGAUAGUUACACACAAUCGAGUGUGACAAAACAGAAAGGAAACAGAUACUAAACUUGAAUAAUAUCAUUUUCCGUGAUGUCUCUUCCACUGGUUCUGUUAUCCACGAUUGCUGGAAACUAAAUUGAUAAGUUACAUUUAUAGAACGAAACCACAAACACGUAAGUAAUACUAAUACCAUUGCAAAUUCAAAUCUUUCUGUCUACCUGAAACAAAACAGACAAAAGAAGUAGUCUUUCAGUAAAAGCUUGUCAUGAAAAACCAAAAGACAUGACUUUGAAAGAGUUUAAAGAAGCAACCUCGAACGAUUCUGUUGGCUUCUCUCUGAUAAUCUUCUUUGUCUACUUCCAAGCUCUGGCAAGGCAAUGAAGCAGGCCACCAUUUCGGCAAAUUGUUCUGAGCUCUAAGCUUGAGGUUUCUAGCUACAGAGUUACUUCUAGAAGCCUGACCAGAAGAAGAAGCUAAGGAGCUUGAAGAUGAACGAAUGCUAUCAACAGCUACAACCACUUCCUUACCACCAAGACUCCUAUCUCUCCUAACUACCACUUUAGGUUUCCCUUGGAAGCUACCCUUCAGACCAGUUCCUAAGUGGACAAGAACCUUAAUAGCAAAACCAAACACGAGUCCAAGCAAGACAACACCUCCAACGAACUGCACGGUUGAUUUCCUG
rnacentral:lncRNA from 1 species